CAGUAGCCGCGGUAAUACGGAGGGUGCAAGCGUUACUCGGAAUCACUGGGCGUAAAGGACGCGUAGGCGGAUUAUCAAGUCUCUUGUGAAAUCUAACGGCUUAACCGUUAAACUGCUUGGGAAACUGAUAACCUAGAGUAAGGGAGAGGCAGAUGGAAUUCUUGGUGUAGGGGUAAAAUCCGUAGAUAUCAAGAAGAAUACCUAUUGCGAAGGCGAUCUGCUGGAACUUAACUGACGCUAAUGCGUGAAAGCGUGGGGAGCAAACAGGAUUAGAUACCCGCGUAGUCCCUGUCUCUUAUAA
rnacentral:rRNA from 1 species